AAUGAACGCUGGCGGCGCGCCUAAUACAUGCAAGUCGAGCGAGAAGACGUAGCAAUACGUUUGUAAAGCGGCGAACGGGUGAGGAAUACAUGGGUAACCUACCCUCGAGUGGGGAAUAACUAGCCGAAAGGUUAGCUAAUACCGCGUACGCUUCUUGGACUUCGGUUCAGGGAGGAAAGCGAUGCCGAGGGUAUCGCGCUCUUGGAUGGGCUCAUGUCCUAUCAGCUUGNGGUGAGGUAACGGCUCACCAAGGCUUCGACGGGUAGCUGGUCUGAGAGGACGAUCAGCCACACUGGCACUGCGACACGGGCCAGACUCCUACGGGGAGGCAGCAGUAAGGAAUAUUGCGCAAUGGGCGAAAGCCUGACGCAGCGACGCCGCGUGGGGGAUGAA
rnacentral:rRNA from 1 species